UGAAUGUUCUGUCCUACAGAUCGCAAAGUUGGAUGUCUCAGGUUUUCAGAAAAUCCUCAUGGUUUCCCUGCCUCUGGUGUGUGGAGUCAGAGCCAGGCAUGCAGGAGCCACCAGUGAGAAGUGUUUCGUUCUGGACAUCAGAGAGUGAGCCUGAAGUGGAGGAGGACAACAGAGGAGCGUCAGACCAGAGGUUUGCAAGAGUACUACGUGAUGGUCAGUAAGCUUAGCAAACUUGGAUGAAUGGAUUGGGGUGGUGGCGGUGCAUGUUUCAGGCUGAGACACAGGAAGCACAUUUCAGUGUGACUGUACAACACAACUGGAUCCCAAGGAAAGUCCUCCCAGAAAGCUUUGCAGAGCAGGGAGGAGGAGGCUAGUAGUGAGCAGUGACUAAACCGGAGGAGG